AUUUGAAUCGCGGUUUGAGCCGGUCAUGCGUCGCGAUCUCGGUGGCUCCGCCGAUCGCGCAGCUCUGCUCCGUUCGACUCCGCCCGGUUCCCGCUGGCUCUUGAUCCUCCCGUUGCAUCAAAAUGUUUUUUUCUCUUUGCUGCUUUCGGUACCAUUACCAGAGUUUGUGGAUUAAAAAUUUGGAUACUUCUGAAGCUAAAAUGGCAGAAGAAUUUUAGAAGAUAUGGGCACGAAAAGAAUCCCAGUAUUCUAGAAGUCUGAGAGCCUUCUUAGAGCCUUCUUUUCCCAUACUUUGGUGGACUAUAAGCCCAAGGAUGAUGGUGAUGUUUCCGGAUUCACACCCCAGUUCCCUUUCUCCACCCUCAGCUACUCCUACAUCAUUCAGCUGACAUUGCCAGUCAGGCCACGUUCUGCCUUGAGAUGAAACCUACUCCGCUUUUCAGGGGGAAGAUCGUAAUCAACGUCUUAACCAUGUGUUGCAUGAUGAAGAGUCUGCUCCGUCGGCCAAAACCAGGGCGGACUCUUAUGGCCAUGCAACGCCGCGUGGGGGAGUUGCUCUUUUCGACUUCGACACGUAGAUGCGCCAGAUUGCGACGUGGGCGCCAUACCACUAUCCUUCGCUGUGGCACAGCACGACAGGCUGACGACGCACCGAAGGACGCAGCUUCCCUGGCUCCGGCCGGCGCGGUAUAGAAGGACAAAGAGGUUGGUUUCUUCUAAUUUUACCUUUUGGAAUUUAAAGUCGUGUUAUUUUUCAAAUUUAUCUAAAUAGUUAAUUUCAAAAUCGAUUCUAAUCCCAAAUCUAA